ACAGUGGACGCGAGCAUCUUUGUUGUAAGUGUUUAAGAGCGUACGGUGGAUGCCUUGGCACCAGGAGCCGAUGAAGGACGUAGGAGGCUGCGAUAAGCUCGGGGAGCUGUCAACCGAGCUGAGAUCCGAGGAUGUCCGAAUGGGGAAACCCAGCCACAGUGAUGUGUGGUUACCCGCGCCUGAAUAUAUAGGGCGUGUGGAGGGAACGUGGGGAAGUGAAACAUCUCAGUACCCACAGGAAGAGAAAACAACAUGUGAUUCCGUGAGUAGUGGCGAGCGAAAGCGGAAGAGGCUAAACCAUGGGUGUGUGAUAGCCGGCGGGCGUUGCAUUCGUGGGGUUGUGGGAUCCGUCUUGUCAAUUCUGCCGGAUUGGCCGACAGUGAGAAAUCAUCGUGUUAGUCGAAGUGGUCUGGAACGGCCUGUCGUAGAGGGUGAGAGUCCCGUAGACGAAAACAUGGUGACUGUCGUGACGGACACCGAGUAGCAGCGGGCCCGUGAAAUCUGCUGUGAAUCUGUCGGGACCACCCGAUAAGCCUGAAUACUCCCUGGUGACCGAUAGCGGACUAGUACCGUGAGGGAAAGGUGAAAAGUACCCCGGGAGGGGAGUGAAAUAGUACCUGAAACCGUGCGCUUACAAUCCGUCAGAGCCUGCGCCACUCGGUGGGUGGGUGAUGGCGUGCCUUUUGAAGAAUGAGCCUGCGAGUUAGCGGCAUGUCGCGAGGUUAACCCGUGUGGGGUAGCCGUAGCGAAAGCGAGUCCGAAUAGGGCGUUUUGUAGUGGCAUGUUCUAGACCCGAAGCGGAGUGAUCUACCCAUGGCCAGGGUGAAGCGACGGUAAGACGUCGUGGAGGCCCGAACCCACUUAGGUUGAAAACU
rnacentral:rRNA from 1 species